AUGGUGUCACAAACCCAGGUUAUCCUGUCCCUGCUGCUCUUGGUGUCUGGUAAGAAAUUCAAAAAUACCUGUGCAGAUAUUGUGAUGACCCAGUCUCCAUCCUCCUUGGCUGUGUCAGCAGGGGAGAAGGUCACCAUCAGCUGCAAGUCCAGUCAGAGUCUUUCAUCUGGUAGUACUAACUACUUGGCUUGGUACCAGCAGAAACCAGAGCAGGCUCCUAAACUACUGAUCUACUUGGCAUCCACUCGGUACACUGGGGUCCCUGAUCGCUUCACAGGAAGUGGAUCUGGGACAGAUUUCACUCUCACCAUCAGCAGUGUUCAGGCUGAAGAUCUGGCAGAUUACUACUGUCAGCAGCACUACACCUAUCCUCCCACAGUGCUUCAGCCUCCAACAAAAACCUCUCUGAGAUUCUCACCAGCUGGCUGCACCACACAGUCCUGGACCUGCAUAUGCUCCCCCGCUGACUGA